UACGGAGGGUGCGAGCGUUACUCGGAAUUACUGGGCGUAAAGCGCGCGUAGGCGGCUUUGCAAGUCGGGGGUGAAAUCCCCAGGCUUAACCUGGGAACUGCAUUCGAGACUGCAUUGCUAGAGUAUGGGAGAGGGAAGUGGAAUUUCCGGUGUAGCGGUGAAAUGCGUAGAUAUCGGAAGGAACAUCAGUGGCGAAAGCGACUUCCUGGACCAAUACUGACGCUGAUGUGCGAAAGCGUGGGGAGCAAACAGG
rnacentral:rRNA from 1 species